rnacentral:rRNA from 1 species
AAUAGAUACCCGGGUAGUCCACGCUGUAAACGUUGGGCGCUAGGUGUGGGGGGCCUCUCCGGUUCUCUGUGCCGCAGCUAACGCAUUAAGCGCCCCGCCUGGGGAGUACGGCCGCAAGGCUAAAACUCAAAGGAAUUGGCGGGGGGCCCGCACAAGCGGCGGAGCAUGCGGAUUAAUUCGAUGCAACGCGAAGAACCUUACCUGGGUUUGACAUCACUCAAAAACUCGCAGAGAUGCGGGGGUCCUUCGGGGUGGGUGACAGGUGGUGCAUGGCUGUCGUCAGCUCGUGUCGUGAGAUGUUGGGUUAAGUCCCGCAACGAGCGCAACCCUCGUCCAAUGUUGCCAGCAAUUCGGUUGGGGACUCAUUGGAGACUGCCGGGGGUCAACUCGGAGGAAGGUGGGGAUGACGUCAAGUCAUCAUGCCCCUUAUGUCCAGGGCUUCACGCAUGCUACAAUGGCCGGUACAAAGGGUUGCGAUGCCGUGAGGUGGAGCGAAUCCCGAAAAAGCCGGUCUCAGUUCGGAUCGGGGUCUGCAACUCGGUACCCCG